GUUAAUCAUGUGAAAUCUGGUUGGAAAAGUGUUUUUAUGGUAUGUUUGAUUUUUUUAUUUUUUAUACUUCUUAUGUUCUAUGUGCUUAUACUGGUCUUACUUUCAGAGAUUACCUUAAAUGAGAAUGGCCUUUUUGGUGAAAUAUUGAAUUAGAAUUUUGUAACUUUCUCAUCUAUACUGAAGAUUAAACUUGCUUGCAUGUUAAUAGGUUUUUACAAUUG
rnacentral:lncRNA from 1 species